rnacentral:rRNA from 1 species
AGCGAACGCUGGCGGCAGGCUUAACACAUGCAAGUCGAGCGGGCACUUUCGGGUGUCAGCGGCGGACGGGUGAGUAACGCGUGGGAACGUGCCCUCUGGUUCGGAAUAACUCAGGGAAACUUGAGCUAAUACCGGAUACGCCCUUUUGGGGAAAGGCUUGCUGCCGGAGGAUCGGCCCGCGUCUGAUUAGCUAGUUGGUGAGGUAACGGCUCACCAAGGCGACGAUCAGUAGCUGGUCUGAGAGGAUGAUCAGCCACACUGGGACUGAGACACGGCCCAGACUCCUACGGGAGGCAGCAGUGGGUAAUAUUGGACAAUGGGCGCAAGCCUGAUCCAGCCAUGCCGCGUGAGUGAUGAAGGCCUUAGGGUUGUAAAGCUCUUUUAUCCGGGACGAUAAUGACGGUACCGGAGGAAUAAGCCCCGGCUAACUUCGUG